CUUAAGAUCUCAAACCCCACAUUGUCUCUCUCUAACUUCUAAGCAUUGUCUGUCCCCAACAACUCCACGCUCUCUGGUCUUUGAAAUACCCAAAAAGAAUUGAAGAAGCUAAGAGAAGAGAAGAGAACCAUGCUCCAAUUCUUCAUCACCUACAAGAAUCUUAUACUUCAACUCUCACUCUCUCUCACACUCACACUCCUCCUCACCUUCCUCAAAAUCCCCAUCUUCUUCCUCCGUGGCCUCCACACCUACAUCCACCCUGACAACGUCCAAAGUGGAGUCCGAGCCGCCAUUCGGAGGCCCGAUGCCUCCGAUUCGGCUUCUGGGUUACCUUCAAAAUCCAAUUCCGAGCUCAGGAAGAGGUCCAAGUCAAAGGACAAGCCCGAGUUCGAUGAAAACAAUGCUCAGAUCUUUCGCCUAAAGCUCGACGAGGCCCAUCUUCAAACCAGGCUCUAUUUCAAUGAGUAUUGCAAUGCUUUCACAUUCUCAUUUGUAGCUCUAUCUUGUCUUUUGCUUCAGUUAUUGUACUUGAAUAGCGAAGCAAACAAUUCUGGGCUUUUGGUUAAUGGGAUUUUUGUUCCGGUUCUGUUAGGCUUUGCGGGUGUUUCUAAGUUGUUGAUGUUGCUUGGCAAAGUUUCGUAUGAGAAAUCUGCGUCGCGGCGGUCAGAGAAGCAACUGAGUGUGCUUUGCGGCGCUGUGGGGUUGGUUUUAGGAUAUAUGGUUUGCUUCACAUUUAGUCCUUCGGUUUUAGAUUUCAAUUUUGACUCAAUUGAUGGGUCUGGGAGGAUCUUUGUUGCUGUUUUAAUGGGAUGCUUUUCGGGUUUCUUGUUUAUGCCCGCGGUGAAGAGUGCGAGGUGCUUUUGGCUUGGAACUGAUCAGAUUAGGUCUGAUUUGGUAAUGCUAUCAUGUGAUUGGUUUGGUAGAGUAGUUCUGUAUGCAAAUUAUAUGAUGAUUGUAUUCACAGUUCUUUUGUGGAUUAAUCCCUUAGCUGGAAUGCUCGUGAACAAGAACAUAAAUGGAAAAGUUGGAAAUGCUGAGAUGUUGAUUGGCAAUGUCGGAUUUUCGCCUUCAGAUUUUGCUAAAUUUAGGCUUUGCUGCUUACUGCUUUCGAGUUUUCUGCAAAUUGUUGCUCUACGCCCCAACAUACAAAUGUAUUUGAAUGAGGCACUGUUAUCUUGGUACCAAAGAUUGCAUGCUAGCAGGGUUCCAGACUUGGAUUUCAGUAGGGCUAAGGUGUUUUUGCACAAUCACUACUUAUGCCUUGUAGUUGUGCAGUUUCUUGCACCACCAAUUGUGUUACUCCUUUUUCUUGGACUAUCUCAGAUUGAUGGUAUCUCUUCGGAAAAUUACAAAUACAUUUGUAGUCUAGCGCCUUGCUCUGCCUUUGUGAAAGAAGUGGCUCUCUUUAUGGCUUGGUGGGUUAUGUUUGUUUGGGCGAUUUAUAGUUCAGCAACCAUUCUUCUAUAUCGUCGCUGCGUUUUGUACAUGUCUUGAUGACUUUGAUUUGUUGUCUCAACCUUCGACGAAUUUUGAGUGAGAGUGUUGUUGUGCGUGUGACGGAAUUUUCAUUACUUAACCUGUGCAAUUCUACAUCCCGAGGAAGGGGGAAGAGAGAAUCGAAAACAUUAUCGGGAUGUGUUCCACGGAAAAUUAUAAUUUAUCUUAUAGUUGUGUGUGUGGGUGUGGCAUCAAUUAUUAGCGAGAUUGGACUAAAUAGGUAGAGAGUAUUUCACACUACUUUAAUGCCAAUGUCAAUCUUGUUUGCUUCUUUACCCGCUUUUAUCUAUUUUUU